UUACUCGCUUUUUUGGUACAUAUGUUUAAAUUGGAACGAUACAGAUAAUAUAAGCAUGGCCCCUGCGAAAAUAUGACACGCAAAAUUGUAACGUUUUCCAAAUUGUU
rnacentral:snRNA from 1 species